UACGUAGGGUGCAAGCGUUAAUCGGAAUUACUGGGCGUAAAGCGUGCGCAGGCGGUUUUGUAAGUUUGUCGUGAAAUCCCCGGGCUCAACCUGGGAAUGGCGAUGAAGACUGCAAGGCUGAGAAUCUGGCAGAGGGGGGUAGAAUUCCACGUGUAGCAGUGAAAUGCGUAGAGAUGUGGAGGAACACCGGAUGGCGCAAGGCAGCCCCCUGGGUCAAGAUUGACGC
rnacentral:rRNA from 1 species